GCGAGGGUGUGUGCGUGCCGUCCAUUCCGAUGCCUACGAUGAUCGCUCUCGAGGUCGGCAGGGUACGCCGCUACACGUUCGCUGCCACAGCGGUGCUGCUGAUGCUCGUCGCAGUGGCGCAAGUGCAAGCGCGCUGUCCUAUCACGCGGCGGGGUCGGUACAGCACCUGCGCCUACAGCGAGUGCAGCCCUUCGGAGUGCGCCGCCAAGGGCCUGGAGUGCUGCCCGAAACCGUGCGGCGGGAGCUGGUGCGUCAAAGGCACAGGUCCCCCGUCAACAUAUCCGGAGAUCUGUCCCCCAGUGGUUCGUCGGGCCACUAAAUGCCGAUUUCCGAAGAGUAACACGACUUGUGAACAACUGAAUUGCUCCACGCUGGGAUCCAUCUGCUGCAGCAAUGGCUGCGAUGAAAACUACUGCUACCGAAUACCGGGGACAUUCGUGUGAAAGAUUCACUGAGCGCUAGGCACGCAAAUAGUCUUCCCGACGCGUCGUCAGAAUAAACAUCCAUUUAGCAAAAACAAAUAGCGUGCAGGAGCUGGGUUGCUCGUCGACCCGCCUUACGCCCAGCAUGUUGUCUGCCACUUUAUACGAGCUUAGGUUGCUGAUACCUGAGUGUACCGCUAGGUUGCUCUUAGGUAUCCCACGGCUUCUUGAUUUCUGAAUUGCGCCCUUUUGCCCGCCCCAAGUAACCUUCCAACCCAUUUUCCGUUCAUGCUGUCCCCAUAAAAUACAAAUCCUUCAUCAAUGUCGCGUACAAGACUAUGCAGGUAAUUCAUUUGAGUGUGCACCUGCAACCGCUUGAUACGUACACCACCUACUAAGUUUCUCUUUUAAAAUUUUGUAAUUUACUCUUCAUCUCUGCGAUAAAAUAGUAUGAAAUGUUCAAUGAUAAUCUAAGUUCACUGCGUAUUAUUAUUGUAUAACGAUGUAUCCAUUUGCUAUUUUUGCCAUGUAAUUACUGUUGCCCCCCUUACACGAUGUCCUUUAAUGGGCCUGUAAGGUUAUGUGAAUAAAUAAAUAAAUAAGGGCUUUCAACAUU